UGCGGAAGGAUCAUUAAAGAGACGUUGCCCUUCGGGGUCGACCUCCCACCCUAUGUUUAUCAUACCUCUGUUGCUUUGGCAGGCCCGUCUUCGGACCACCGGCUCCGGCCGGUCCGUGCCUGCCAGAGGACCUAAAACUCUGUUUGUUAAUGCAGUCUGAGUACUAUAUAAUAGUUAAAACUUUCAACAACGGAUCUCUUGGUUCUGGCAUCGAUGAAGAACGCAGCGAAAUGCGAUAAGUAAUGUGAAUUGCAGAAUUCAGUGAAUCAUCGAAUCUUUGAACGCACAUUGCGCCCCCUGGUAUUCCGGGGGGCAUGCCUGUUCGAGCGUCAUUACAACCCUCAAGCUCUGCUUGGUAUUGGGCCCCGCCAGUUCUGGCGGGCCCUAAAGUCAGUGGCGGUGCCAUCCGGCUCCGAGCGUAGUAAUUCUUCUCGCUCUGGAGACCCGGUUGUGUGCUUGCCAACAACCCCCAAUUUUUUAAGGUUGACCUCGGAUCAGGUAGGGAUACCCGCUGAACUUAA
rnacentral:rRNA from 1 species